rnacentral:rRNA from 1 species
GACGAACGCUGGCGGCGUGCUUAACACAUGCAAGUCGAACGGAAAGGCCCUGCUUUUGUGGGGUGCUCGAGUGGAGAACGGGUGAGUAACACGUGAGUAACCUGCCCUUGACUUUGGGAUAACUUCAGGAAACUGGGGCUAAUACCGGAUAGGAGCUCCUGCUGCAUGGUGGGGGUUGGAAAGUUUCGGCGGUUGGGGAUGGACUCGCGGCUUAUCAGCUUGUUGGUGGGGUUGUGGCGUACCAAGGCUUUGACGGGUAGCCGGCCUGAGAGGGUGACCGGCCACAUUGGGACUGAGAUACGGCCCAGCCUCCUCCGGGAGGGAGCAGUGGGGAAUAUUGCACUAUGGGCGGGAGCCUGAUGCAGCAACGCCGCGUGCGGGAUGACGGCCUUCGGGUUGUAAACCGCUUUCGCCUGUGACGAAGCGUGAGUGACGGUAAUGGGUAAAGAAGCACCGGCUAACUACGUG